rnacentral:rRNA from 1 species
AACGCGAAGAACCUUACCAGCUCUUGACAUGCCCGGACGAUAUCCAGAGAUGGAUAUCUUCCCGCAAGGGACCGGUGCACAGGUGCUGCAUGGCUGUCGUCAGCUCGUGUCGUGAGAUGUUGGGUUAAGUCCCGCAACGAGCGCAACCCUCAUCUUCAGUUGCCAUCAGGUUAUGCUGGGCACUCUGAAGAAACUGCCGGUGACAAGCCGGAGGAAGGCGGGGAUGACGUCAAGUCCUCAUGGCCUUUAUGGGCUGGGCUACACACGUGCUACAAUGGCGGUGACAAUGGGAUGCGAAGGGGCGACCCUUGGCCAAUCUCAAAAAGCCGUCUCAGUUCGGAUUGUUCUCUGCAACUCGAGAGCAUGAAGCUGGAAUCGCUAGUAAUCGCGGAUCAGCACGCCGCGGUGAAUACGUUCCCGGGCCUUGUACACACCGACGCGUA